UCCCUGGUGGCUCAGACGGUAAAGCAUCUGCCUGUGAUGCAGGAGACCUGGGUUCAAUCCCUGGGUUGGGAG
rnacentral:tRNA from 1 species